GGUGAAAAGAACCCCGGGAGGGGAGUGAAAAGAACCUGAAACCUUGUGCUUACAAGCACACAAAGCACGUCAACGUGUGAUGUGGUACCUUUUGUAGAAUGGUCCGGCGAGUGAAUGUAACUGGCGAGGUUAAGUUCUUAAGGAACGGAGCCGAAGCGAAAGCAAGUCUGAAUAGGGCGUCUUAGUCAGUUGUAUUCGACCCGAAACCGGGUGACCUAUCCAUGUCCAGGAUGAAGUUAAGGUAAAACUUGAUGGAGGUCCGAACCCACGGUCGUUGAAAUGCCCGGGGAUGAGAUGUGGAUAGCGGAGAAAUUCCAAUCGAACCCGGAUAUAGCUGGUUCUCUCCGAAAUAGCUUUAGGGCUAGCCUCGACUGAACAUUACCGGAGGUAGAGCACUGAAUGGGCUAGGGGCCGAGAGGUUACUGAACCCUAUCAAACUUCAAAUGCCGGAAAAUGAUAGUCGGGAGUCAGACUGCGUGAGAUAAGUUUCGUAGUCGAAAGGGAAACAGCCCAGACCCACAGCUAAGGUCCCAAAGUACGGUUAAGUGGAAAAGGAUGUGGAGUUGCACAGACAACCAGGAUGUUGGCUUAGAAGCAGCCACUCAUUAAAAGAGUGCGUAAUAGCUCACUGGUCGAGUGACUCUGCGCCGAAAAUUUAACGGGGCUAAAUCGUACACCGAAGCUUGGGAAUAUCAGUUAUUCUUCAUGGACUUGCAAGGAAAGACACCAUGGCACGGAGUGCCAUCAAAUUGUCCAUAAGGAUAAAGCGAGCUUGUGAAGAAUAACUGAUGUUGGUAGGAGAGCGUUGAAUGCGGGGUGAAGUCAGAGCGAAAGCGCUGGUGGACUGCAUUGAAGUGAGAAUGCCGGAAUGAGUAGCGAGAUUUAUGUGAGAAUCAUAAAGGCCGAAAGACUAAGGUUUCAGAAGGAAGGUUCGUCCGCUUCUGGUUAGCCGGGAGCUAAGGUGAGGCCGAAAGGCGUAGCCGAUGCACAUACGGUGGAGAUUCCGUAGCCGUCGAAAUAUUUAAGCAAAGGGACACUUAUGAAGGACAUGACCCGGGCGAUGGUAGCCCCGGGCGUAAGGGACUGAAAACAAGUAGGGAAGCAUGUUUGGAUUAAGGCGAGAAAAGCUUUGUGUAUAUAUGAGACGUCCGUACCGCAAACCGACACAGGUAGUCAGGAAGAGGAUUCUAAGGCCAACGGGAGAAGGGUAGUUAAGGAACUCGGCAAAUUGACCCCGUAACUUCGGGAUAAGGGGCGGUGCGUAAGCACCCGCAGUGAAUAGGUCCAGGCGACUGUUUAUCAAAAACACAGCUCUCUGCUAAAUCGAAAGAUGACGUAUAGGGGGUGACACCUGCCCGGUGCUGGAAGGUUAAGAGGAGGAGUGCAAGCUCCGAAUUGAAGCCCCAGUAAACGGCGGCCGUAACUAUAACGGUCCUAAGGUAGCGAAAUUCCUUGUCGGGUAAGUUCCGACCCGCACGAAUGGUGUAACGAUCUGGACGCUGUCUCAACUGCCCACCCGGCGAAAUUGUAGUACCGGUGAAGAUGCCGGUUACCCGCGGCAAGACGGAAAGACCCCAUGGAGCUUUACUGUAACUUGAUAUUGGGUCUUGGUAUUCUAUGUACAGGAUAGGCGGGAGACUAUGAAACAUACACGCCAGUGUAUGCGGAGUCACCCUUGGGAUACCGCUCUUAGAGUACUGAGAUUCUAACCUGCGGCCGUGAAUCCGGUCGGGGGACAUUGUCAGGUGGGCAGUUUGACUGGGGCGGUCGCCUCCUAAAAGGUAACGGAGGCGCUCAAAGGUUAGCUCAGCACGGUCGGAAACCGUGCCUCUGAGUGCAAACGCAAAAGCUAGCCUAACUGCGAGGCUGACGGGCCGAGCAGUAACGAAAGUUG
rnacentral:rRNA from 1 species